GCCACGGGUGACAAUUUUAUUUCUUUUAACACAAAAAGAUUCCUUAAACAGCCACGUGUAUAACAAUAGGUACACUCCAGGUACAUUCAAGCAUAGGAAGUACUACCAAGGAGCUAAAACACGUACUAACAGCAAACAUGUACAUUCAAGCAUCCACGUAGCUACCAAGUAGCUACCAUUUCUACCAGCAGCAGCAACAGCCGCCUGAAAGACAAGGAGGUACUACCACCACCAGCAGCAACCAUCCAUCACCACCAGCGGCGACAUUUCAAAGACGCCCUCCCCUUGUUGUUGCUUGGCGUGCUGCAUCACAAGUCCCCCUAGACACACAAAAUUUAGAUGUUCAAAACAUAUCAACAUGUUGAGCAGAUAGGGAAUCAUGGAGCAAAUGUUAGUGUGGUGCAAGGCGACAGAUUACAUGAUUAAAUAUUAACAGAAGAAGAAUCGUUGAAUAAAUCGUGUGAAAUGGCAUGGUGGAUUUGGAAAGUAACAUUCAAGCGGCAGUUUGAAUCGAUGAGCAGACUAUACAGAUUCUAACAAGGCUACAAGGUUACAAGGCUACACAUUUGAACACAAGAAGCCAUAAAUUUGAACAACCAAAUUAAGAAUAGGAGUAGAUCAACAAUUGCAUAGCAACUAAAUUCUAAAUAUCACUAACCAACAAUACCCAAAUGACGUGGUGCGGCGACACAGAAACAUGGAAACCAACACAAAGUCUGCCAAAAUUUCAUCGCAUCACCGAGCAAACACUGAGAUCAGGUGGAAGAGGCCAACACUGAAUAGAGCGGUAACAGAGAGGGAAUGGGGGAGCGGAUAAAUUACAACAUCACAAAAGAUACUUCCACUUCUCACCAUCGACCUUGCAAACCUGCGAUUUAAACACAAAUCAGGACACGGGAUUUGCAAGAAAAACUAUCACAGCACGAGUUCGAAUAAGAACAAGGAGAUAGGAGCGGGAGCAAAGGGAACCGAGAUGCUUACCAUGGAGACCUGCUUGAUGUUGGAGUCCUUCCUGAAUAUGUCCCUGCAAAAAUAGAACCAAAAUGGGCCCCGGUCAGGACGCGUCACCACGCCACAGAAACAACAUGAAUCGAACCACAACAACAAAUCAGAUCUCGGGCUCACAUGAGGACUAAGACAGCGCUUGGGCUUGUUGUUGUCUUUCUUGGCCUUGCUCUUCUUCA
rnacentral:lncRNA from 1 species